ensembl:snoRNA
UGUGGCUCUUAGUGGAGCAGUUUCAGUUCUGGUUGUAACUGGGAAUGCCAAAUAAGAGCCAACAGUGAACUUUCCCAUAGCUAUUGCAUUACUGCAUGCAGUGGUGCUGUUAUGCAGCUUUACUGGGAUGAACAAAG